ACGAACGCUGGCGGCGUGCCUAAUACGUGCAAGUAGAACGCUGAAGAGAGGAGCUUGCUCUUCUUGGAUGAGUUGCGAACGGGUGAGUAACGCGUAGGUAACCUGCCUUGUAGCGGGGGAUAACUAUUGGAAACGAUAGCUAAUACCGCAUAACAAUGGAUGACACAUGUCAUUUAUUUGAAAGGGGCAAUUGCUCCACUACAAGAUGGACCUGCGUUGUAUUAGCUAGUAGGUGAGGUAAUGGCUCACCUAGGCGACGAUACAUAGCCGACCUGAGAGGGUGAUCGGCCACACUGGGACUGAGACACGGCCCAGACUCCUACGGGAGGCAGCAGUAGGGAAUCUUCGGCAAUGGGGGCAACCCUGACCGAGCAACGCCGCGUGAGUGAAGAAGGUUUUCGGAUCGUAAAGCUCUGUUGUAAGUCAAGAACGGGUGUGAGAGUGGAAAGUUCACACUGUGACGGUAGCUUACCAGAAAGGGACGGCUAACUACGUG
rnacentral:rRNA from 1 species